rnacentral:rRNA from 1 species
UAGGGAAUCUUCGGCAAUGGACGAAAGUCUGACCGAGCAACGCCGCGUGAGUGAAGAAGGUUUUCGGAUCGUAAAACUCUGUUGUUAGAGAAGAACAAGUACGUUAGUAACUGAACGUCCCCUGACGGUAUCUAACCAGAAAGCCACGGCUAACUACGUGCCAGCAGCCGCGGUAAUACGUAGGUGGCACGCGUUGUCCGGAUUUAUUUGGCGUAAAGCGAGCGCAGGCGGUUUCUUAAGUCUGAUGUGAAAGCACCCGGCUCAACCGGGGAGGGUCAUUGGAAACUGGGAGACUUGAGUGCAGAAGAGGAGAGUGGAAUUCCAUGUGUAGCGGUGAAAUGCGUAGAUAUAUGGAGGAACACCAGUGGCGAAGGCGGCUCUCUGGUCUGUAACUGACGCUGAGGCUCGAAAGCGUGGGGAGCAAACAGG